GUAAAACGUACGUACACGUAUAUCCGAUCUUUGCUUCGAAUUGUUUUUCAAUAGCAAUGGUUUAUAGUCGCGUCAAGAUAUAAAUAAAAUUCCCCUCUAUGUAUCCUCUAACUAUUCUGUUCUAUUCUAACUUAUCAUAACAGUGGCCGCACCCGUUCCCGUUAUCCUAGUUUUUCGUUUUGGGGUCAUUGCCAUGAAUAUCUUUAUUUAAACUUUUUUGUUUUUCUUAGACGGA